GUUUUGCACAAGAAAACCACAAUCAUUGAAAACAAAGAAACAAUUGUUUUCUUUGGAAAAUUGUUUGACUGAAAGUAAGUUGGAAGAUGCAUUGGGACAUUGCAAAAUAUAGUUUAGAUGAAAUGAAGUAUUUAAGAAUUAUUAUGGUGGUAUCAUGGAUGCCUUGGAUUUAUAGCUCUAUGAGCGAUGACUAUGCUGUGAAGAGGCAUACUGUGAAGAGCUACCUUCGUAUGAGCUGAGCUAACCCUGACAUGAGCUCCUCUAUACUGAUACGAGGUAUCCUGAGCAUCUACAUUGAUAUGAGCUGAGGCCAAAAGCAAUAAAUGUCCCC
rnacentral:lncRNA from 1 species